AGUGAACGCUGGCGGUAGGCCUAACACAUGCAAGUCGAACGGCAGCACAGUAAGAGCUUGCUCUUACGGGUGGCGGGUGGCGGACGGGUGAGGAAUACAUCGGAAUCUACUUUUUCGUGGGGGAUAACGUAGGGAAACUUACGCUAAUACCGCAUACGACCUACGGGUGAAAGCAGGGGAUCUUCGGACCUUGCGCGAUUGAAUGAGCCGAUGUCGGAUUAGCUAGUUGGCGGGGUAAAGGCCCACCAAGGCGACGAUCCGUAGCUGGUCUGAGAGGAUGAUCAGCCACACUGGAACUGAGACACAGUCCAGACUCCUACGGGAGGCAGCAGUGGGGAAUAUUGGACAAUGGGCGCAAGCCUGAUCCAGCCAUACCGCGUGGGUGAAGAAGGCCUUCGGGUUGUAAAGCCCUUUUGUUGGGAAAGAAAAGCAGCAGGUUAAUACCCCGCUGUUCUGACGGUACCCAAAGAAUAAGCACCGGCUAACUUCGUG
rnacentral:rRNA from 1 species